rnacentral:rRNA from 1 species
GACGAACGCUGGCGGCGUGCCUAAUACAUGCAAGUCGAACGCAGUGGGGACGGGUGAGUAACACGUGGGUAACCUCCCAUCAGAGGGGAUCACCCUUGGAAACAGGUGCUAAACCGCUCCUGAUGGAUGGACCCGCGGUGCAUUAGCUAGUUGGUGAGGUAACGGCUCACCAAGGCCACGAUGCAUCGCAGAACUGAGAGGGUGAUCGGCGACAUGGGGACUGUGACACGGCCCAGACUCCUACGUGAGGCAGCAGUAGGGAAUCUUCGGCAAUGGACGAAAGUCUGACCGAGCAACGCCGCGUGAGUGAAGAAGGUUGUCGGAUCGUAAAACGCUGUUGUUAGAGAAGCGGGAUCUAACCAGAAAGCCACGGCUAACUACGUGCCAGCCGCCGCGGUAAUUC